rnacentral:rRNA from 1 species
UACAGAGGGGGCAAGCGUUGUUCGGAAUUACUGGGCGUAAAGGGCGCGUAGGCGCCACCUAAGUCAGACGUGAAAUCCCUCGGCUCAACCGGGGAACUGCGUCUGAUACUGGGCGGCUUGAAUUCGGGAGAGGGAUGUGGAAUUCCAGGUGUAGCGGUGAAAUGCGUAGAUAUCUGGAGGAACAUCGGUGGCGAAGGCGGCAUCCUGGACCGGUAUUGACGCUGAGGCGCGAAAGCUAGGGGAGCAAACAGG